rnacentral:rRNA from 1 species
UACGAACGCUGGCGGCGUGCUUAACACAUGCAAGUCGCACGAGGACGGGAGCUUGCUCCCGAGCCGAGAGGCGGACGGGUGAGUAACACGUGACCAACUUGUCCUAGGGUGAGGGACAACCUGGGGAAACCCGGGCUAAUACCGCAUGAUGUCUCGAGGUCGCAUGGCCAUGAGAUCAAAGAGGGCCUCUGCUUGCAAGCUCUCGCCCUGGGAGGGGGUCGCGGCGUAUCAGCUAGUUGGUAGGGUAACGGCCUACCAAGGCUACGACGCGUAGCGGGUCUGAGAGGACGACCCGCCUCAUUGGGACUGAGAUACGGCCCAGACUCCUACGGGAGGCAGCAGUGGGGAAUAUUGCGCAAUGGACGAAAGUCUGACGCAGCGACGCCGCGUGUGGGAGGAAGCUCUUCGGGGGUNUAAACCACUGUCAGGGAGGGAAGAAACUCGUCGGCCCGAACAGGAACGGCGAAUUGACGGUACCUCCAAAGGAAGCGCCGGCUAACUCCGUGCCAG